rnacentral:rRNA from 1 species
AUUGAACGCUGGCGGCAUGCCUUACACAUGCAAGUCGAACGGUAACGCGGGGGCAACCCUGGCGACGAGUGGCGAACGGGUGAGUAAUACAUCGGAACGUGUCCUGUUGUGGGGGAUAACCCAUCGAAAGGUGAGCUAAUACCGCAUGAUCUGGAGACAGCAAAGCAGGGGACCGGUAACGGCCUUGCGCGAUUGGAGCGGCCGAUGUCCGAUUAGCUAGUUGGUGGGGUAAAGGCCCACCAAGGCAACGAUCGGUAGCUGGUCUGAGAGGAUGAUCAGCCACACUGGGACUGAGACACGGCCCAGACUCCUACGGGAGGCAGCAGUGGGGAAUUUUGGACAAUGGGGGCAACCCUGAUCCAGCCAUGCCGCGUGAGUGAAGAAGGCCUGG